AACGAACGCUGGCGGCAUGCCUAACACAUGCAAGUCGAACGAGACCUUCGGGUCUAGUGGCGCGCGGGUGCGUAACGCGUGGGAACCUGCCUUUAGGUUCGGAAUAACUCAGAGAAAUUUGAGCUAAUACCGGAUAAUGUCUUCGGACCAAAGAUUUAUCGCCUUUAGAUGGGCCCGCGUAAGAUUAGCUAGUUGGAGGGUAAAGGCCUACCAAGGCGACGAUCUUUAGCUGGUCUGAGAGGAUGAUCAGCCACACUGGGACUGAGACACGGCCCAGACUCCUACGGGAGGCAGCAGUGGGGAAUUGUUCGCAAUGGGCGCAAGCCUGACGACGCAACGCCGCGUGGAGGAUGAAGAUCUUCGGGUUGUAAACUCCUUUCGAUCGAGACGAAUGGCCCUUGGGCUAACAUCCUGAGGGAGUGACGGUACCGAGAGAAGAAGCCCCCGGCUAAACUCCGUGCCAGCAGCCGCGGUAAU
rnacentral:rRNA from 1 species